AUUGAACGCUAGCGGGAUGCCUUACACAUGCAAGUCGAACGGAGUGGCGAACGGGUGAGUAAUUUAUCGGAACGUGCCCAGUAGCGGGGGAUAACUACGCGUAAGCGUAGCUAAUACCACAUACUAUUGGAGCGGCCGUUAUCGGAUUGGCUAGUUGGUGGGGUAACGGAUCACCAAGGAGACGAUCCGUAGCUGGUUUGAGAGGACGACCAGCCACACUGGGAAUGCGACACGGCGCAGACUCCGACGGUAGGCAGCAGAGGUGAAUUUUGGACAAUGGGGGAAACCGUGAUCCAGCCAUCCCGCGUGUGGGAUGAAGGCCUUCGGGUUGUAAAGCACGUUUGGCAGGAAAGCGGUACCUGCAGAAUAAGCAACGGCUAACUACGUGCGAGCCGCCGCGGUAAUUC
rnacentral:rRNA from 1 species